GUCAUCUAAGCGAAUCUUUCUCCUCUCCUUAUCCUCACGGAAUCAACGGCUUUUCACUCGUUGUGUUUAACACUGAACAGAAAUAAAGGGAGCAAGACGCUCUGAAUCCUGGCUCAAGUGUUCUAUACAUGAGUUUGGCUGGCUGAUGAACUGUGACAACGUACACGAAGUACAUAACGCACAGGGGGAUCACCACAGGCACC